rnacentral:lncRNA from 1 species
UAUCUCUUUCAUUCUUUUGUAUUCAUUUCUUCAUCCAUUUGAAGUUCUGAUUUCGAUUCAGAUCUACUCUUGUUCGUUUCUUUUCUCAAAUUUUUGUUAUGUUAUCCUUGUAGAUCGUGAAGUGAUCUACGUUCUCAGUAUGGCUUCAAUAGCUUUGCUGGGAUUGAUUGUUCGACGAGUGUUUGGUGCCGUCAACGGAGAAAAUCUGUGAAUCGCUUUGCAUCGAUGGAGAACGGUUAGAUCUGGGCUCAAUUCAGCUGACGGAUCAAUGUAACUCGCAGUUCUGUUGGUAAUAUACUAUGUUUUAAAAUUAUUUUAGCUUUAUUUCUAUGUUCAUAUAAUGAAUAAGACUUUCAUGUUGCUGUCUUGCUCAUAUUUGUAAUCAGCAGAUCUGUUGUUGAUAUCUGCUUUUUAUGAAAUUGUUAAUGUUUUUUAGUUUUUUGCAGGAUAAAGAAAUGGCUUCUGCUGACAAUUCGUUGCAGUUUACGCUCUUUUUAUGGUAUCUAUCCUCGUCAUGGUGUCCGAGCAGAGACAUCUAUUCUUGUUGAUGCUCAAGGCCCGAAAUCAUUUGCGGAUGCUGGAUGAUGGACUUAGAAAGGAUAAAAAUUCUGUCUACAUGGAUACAAGGUUCUAACAUGUUUAAUGGCUUUCAUAAUUAUGAUUCAUUUAAUGUUAAUUCGAAAAAAUGAGCUAGAAGUAGUUGUGACAAGAUAUUUAGAAAAGAGAGGCUAUGUGUAAGAAAAGAGUGGCUUAUGUUCGUCUCGCCGACCUUUGCCAUGUCGGGUGCGCUCACAUGGCAGGUCAAAAGCUCAAUAAAAUACAUAAUAUUUUUGAUUUUGAGGAGAGAUGGUACGGGGAUUUUUGCCCGGCUCUCUCCGCGUGUGGUGUCUUUUUAUUCUUUUCCUUUCUCUCCUCGUUCUCGUUUCUAUUGCUGCGAUAAUUUUAUUUCUGUUUGGUCCUUGAAUGGGUUGGGGCCUUUUCCUGUGUUACAAAGAUGUCAUGAAACCCGUUCAAGGAUAAAGCAUAAUUUAUUUUUUUCCCGGAGCAAAGUCACCAGUAAGUCGCCAAUGCCAGAAUGGGUCUUCUCAAGUAUCAACGAUUUCCCAAGGUACAAUGUUAGAUAUUUAUUAGCUAGCAUCUGAUUGAUUAAAAACAUUUCAAACUUACAAUUGUUUAGCCAUUCCAUCUCAUAUUAAAGUUGAGCGGUUAGAUAGGAAAGCUAUGUCUGCAAAAAUUAGGCUUUAUUUUGUGUUUCAAGAUUUAGCAGUUUUUGAUAAAAAGUUUGUUAAAAUGUGGAGAACAUAAACGCUGCUUGUCCCGAGAUGUUUUUGAUAAACUUUCAGCCAUGAUAUUUUUUAUUAAACAAGCUACAUAUUAACUUGCUUAAUAUAUUGGUAUUUUCUUGACCAUGUACCCAACUUCUUGCAAUCUCAUGAUUUGAUGGGUAACUUCUCGGAAUAUCCUUACUAUCUUGGAUUUUGGGUAAACACUCAAUUGAAAGCUUAAGAAUUUUUGAAUGGUGAUCAUUUAUUUCGUCCAUCUAUAAUUAAAUACCAUUCCUGAAUUUGCCGAAGAAUAGAAAGGCUCAAAUCAAUUUGUUGUCAUAAUGUUUUGGUGAACGUCAAACAUGGUUAUUUGGCAAAUCCAAUUUUACCGGAGAUAUCAUAAAUAUGUUUCACAUGUAAUUUACAUAUGGCAAUGUUAACAAAAUUAUCUUAUCUACUAUCCCGAUCCUGAAUUCGUAACAUUCACUAUGAAGAUCAAUCCUGAGCAACUAACAAUUUUCGCUUCAAUUCAGUUGUAUAGUACAAAGUACGAGCGGAAUUUAUUGCUUGUUGUAGCUUUAUUUUUCCUGGUCCUAUACAUAUAUGAAUCUUAUUCGUACUGUUUUUUACCUGGUGUUGAAUUUAUUUUGUCAUUCUUGGGUCAUUAUCCUGCUGGAGUGUAUUGUAGAUUUAUUGGUAUUGACCAGAAGCCUUCUUUCUGUAAUGUAAUUGAAGGCCAUUACGCAUGGUAUGUAGAUGAGGAAUGCAGAUCUUUUUGAUUUAUACACUAGAUCAGCGUUUCUCCAUUUUCCUUCCAUGGGAAAAUGUUUGCAACUUUUUGUGUCAUGUUGGUUUGGAUUGCCUCACGGAGUGGAAAUACAUGAAGAUGAUCCUGUUUGUUUUUGCUGUUGAUCCGCUGCUGCUGCCUCUGCCUCUGCCUCUGCCUCUGCCUCUGCUGCUGCUGCUGCUGCUAUUGCUAAACUUGAUACUUCAAGAUGCCUCAUCCUUCAAAGCAUCUAGAACCUGUGGAUUGCGAUGAAUGUUUGUGAUAUAUCUCAUUUAAUGCUUGUGCCAUGUUCAUUCCUUUGUGCUGUCCCUGCAAACUUGCUGAAGGUGCGUGCUGCUGCUGCUUGAUAUCUAUGAUUUGGCCAGUCCUGUGUUACAAUAUGCACAGGCUGAUCAUCAAAAUUCUUCACUCUUGAUACUGUUUUAGUGAACUGUUAAUCCUAUAAACGAUGCUAUUUGUUGAGUUCCUCAUUCACAAACUGGUGGCCAUAAAUGGUGUUAAUGUUCAUGACGGUUGUUGAUAUGGAUCUUGUAUCGCUUUGCUUCUGCACUAUAAGUUGUUUAUGUCGAUAAUUAUUCGAGGCGGUUGAUCAGUUACAGUUAUUUGAUGUAGUUCAUGGUAAUGGUAAUGGAUUUUUUUAGUGGAUUUAAUUGCGAUUUUUUUAGCGUUUAAUGUCUUAAUUUCUAUCUUAUGUUUUUGUAGGUGGACUUGGGAUCUAUUUCGUUGUGUUUAUAGGGAUGAACAUUAGCCUUGGGAGAAAGUUAAGUGAGGUACAUGUCCAAGGCGCUGUUUUAAAACCACUGUAAGUGGGAAUACAUUUAUAAUUGUAUUUACAAGUAAUAUAUAGUCGAGAAAUUUGCGUGUUGAGGUUUUGAUUAUUUUAUGUAUUUAGAGGAGAAAAUAAGCUAUGAAUGUUUAGUAGUUUUCCUUAUCCCUAAGAACUGUCGACCAAACAUACACUGCCUUGAGGCGGGUACCUGCUCGAUGCGUAUCUCAAAUUGCGUUGUCACAUUUAGCUUUAAAUUUUGAAUUUCGGCAGAAUUCUGAUGUGGAAAUCAAUUUUGCAACUGAGCUUGGUUUUUCGAUUAAUUUGGGACGAAAACGGAAUUUCAGUGUUGGUCCAGUUAAAAUUCUAUUAAUUUUGCAAACUGC